rnacentral:rRNA from 1 species
AUUGAACGCUGGCGGCAGGCCUAACACAUGCAAGUCGAACGGCUGAAGAGAACUUGCUUCCUCUUUCAGCGGCGGACGGGUGUGCGAUGCCCGUAAAUAUCCCUGCUAGUGGCGGCUAACGUCCGGACGCAGGCACACAUACCCCAUCCGCCCUUAGGCCCUACGAGGGGAAUCAGCGGACCUCCGGCCCUCCGCCGAUCCGAGGUCGACUUGCCUAGUUGGGGGGGUAAAGGCCUACCAAGGCGACGAUCCGCAACUGGUCUGAGAGGAUGAUCAGUCACACGGGAACUGAGACAGGGUCCAGACUCCUACGGGAGGCAGCGGUGGGGAAUAUUGGACAAUGGGCGAAAGCCUGAUCCAGCCAUGCCGCGUGGGUGAAGAAGGUCUUCGGGUUGUAAAGCCCUUUGGGUGGGGAGGAAGAGCAGUAGGUUAAUACCCUGCUGUUUUGACGGUACCUAAAGAAUAAGCACCGGCUAACUUCGUG